GGGGAAUAUUGGACAAUGGGCGCAAGCCUGAUCCAGCAAUGCCGCGUGAGUGAUGAAGGCCUUAGGGUUGUAAAGCUCUUUUACCCGGGAAGAUAAUGACUGUACCGGGAGAAUAAGCCCCGGCUAACUCCGUGCCAGCAGCCGCGGUAAUACGGAGGGGGCUAGCGUUGUUCGGAAUUACUGGGCGUAAAGCGCGCGUAGGCGGACCAUCAAGUCGGGGGUGAAAUCCCGGGGCUCAACCCCGGAAUGGCCUUCGAGACUGGUGGUCUUGAGUUCGAGAGAGGUGAGUGGAAUUCCGAGUGUAGAGGUGAAAUUCGUAGAUAUUCGGAGGAACACCAGUGGCGAAGGCGGCUCACUGGCUCGACACUGACGCUGAGGUGCGAAAGCGUGGGGAGCAAA
rnacentral:rRNA from 1 species